AGCGGGAAAAGCUCAAAUUUAAAAUCUGGCGGUCUUUGGCCGUCCGAGUUGUAGUCUGGAGAAGUGCUUUCCGCGCUGGACCGUGUAUAAGUCUCUUGGAACAGAGCGUCAUAGAGGGUGAGAAUCCCGUCUUUGACACGGACUACCAGUGCUUUGUGAUGCGCUCUCAAAGAGUCGAGUUGUUUGGGAAUGCAGCUCAAAAUGGGUGGUGAAUUCCAUCUAAAGCUAAAUAUUGGCGAGAGACCGAUAGCGAACAAGUACCGUGAGGGAAAGAUGAAAAGCACUUUGGAAAGAGAGUUAAACAGUACGUGAAAUUGCUGAAAGGGAAACGCUUGAAGUCAGUCGCGUCGUCCGGAACUCAGCCUUGCUUUCGCUUGGUGCACUUUCCGGAUGACGGGUCAGCAUCGAUUUUGACCGUCGGAAAAGGGCUGGAGUAAUGUGGCACCUCCGGGUGUGUUAUAGACUCUAGCCGCAUACGGCGGUCGGGAUCGAGGAACGCAGCGCGCCGCAAGGCAGGGGUUCGCCCACUUUCGCGCUUAGGAUGCUGGCAUAAUGGCUUUAAACGACCCGUCUUGAAACACGGACCAAGGAGUCUAACAUACCUGCGAGUGUUUGGGUGGAAAACCCGAGCGCGCAAUGAAAGUGAAAGUUGAGACCCCUGUCGUGGGGGGCAUCGACGCCCGGACCUGACGUUUUCUGACGGAUCCGCGGUAGAGCAUGUAUGUUGGGACCCGAAAGAUGGUGAACUAUGCCUGAAUAGGGUGAAGCCAGAGGAAACUCUGGUGGAGGCUCGUAGCGAUUCUGACGUGCAAAUCGAUCGUCAAAUUUGGGUAUAGGGGCGAAA
rnacentral:rRNA from 1 species